UUUUUCCUUCUUUUAUGGGUUUUGCUCAAUGGUGAUCAUGGUCUUUUUGUAUGCAGAACCUCUUUGGCUUUACUUUAAGUGGAAGGCUUUAUUUUGUGUAGGGUUAUCAAUGGUUUGGGGUAAGAUUUACAUACACACUAACCCACCCUCCCUAGAGCCCACUACUGGGAUUACACUGGGUAUGUACAACCAAAAUCAGACUUUUCAAAACCAUCCCAUCAUCUCUGUUUCUCUUCAAUAUUAGUACUGUUCGGUUAAUUGUUGGUACUUAUAGAAAUGUCAUGUAGUAGUUACAGGUAAAAAUUAGAACACGAUAACAUGCAUACUUUUGUAAGACUUUUGGCAAACAAUUUCUAGACAUUUUUACCUUUAGAAGGUAUUGAAUCAAGGGAACAUUCUUUACAGUGGUGUAGAACAAAGUUAAACUAAGACAAUUUAAAUCAAACAAGAAGGAAAAAUUCAGUCAAUAUGUGGUACUGAAAAACCAAGUCUACUAAGAUUGAGUAUCCAAUUAGAGAAAUUUAAGAUCAUAUAAGAAGAAAGACUUGUGAUACCCUGUAACUUGUUGCUCAAGACAGUUGGAAUAACUUAGCUUAUUAGUAGAAGUGCUAGAAUUAAUGUAGUUUUAUAGGAAUAGCAUAAUAGGUUUCGUAGUUGGGACUUUGGGUGUUAAUUACUUGUUCUUGUUCCUUCUCAAAAAACUUGUAGUCAUACAAUUCAAGUCAAAUUUUAAUUUUUUAUUAUUUUAGUGCUUAAAAUAAAAUACUUUUCACAAACUUAUUCCGUAAGGAUGCUCUAAGUGCGGAGAUUUGAGAUGUUAGAUGUGGAUGGUUUUAGUAGAGAUAGAUGUAGACUGAACAAGUAUUGGGUAGAGGUGAUUAGAUAGGAUAGGACGCAAUUUCAACCUACCGAGGAUAUGACCGUAGAUAGGAGGUUGUGGAGGAAACAAAUUAGGAUGGAAGAUUGGUAGGUAGUAGAGCAUUGUCUCGCUUAUCUUUCCACACUAGUAGUUUAGCUUUAUUGUAGGAGUUUUUGUCCUUUGAUGUAUGUUAUUACCUGUCGUUUCUUGCACACCUCGAUUAUCAUAUUACAUUGUUGUAGUUACAUUUCUUUUUUGUUAAAAUGAUUUGACACGCUUUCUAUAGUAUUUUGUCAAGAUUCCUUCACUCUUAUUAGUUUUUUUUUUUUAUUUAUUUUUUUAUAAUCUGCUUCGAAUUUUUUUUCUCUUGAGCUGAGGGUCUAUAGGAACAACCUCUCUACGAGCUAGGGGUAAGGUAUACAUUCUACCCUCCUCGGACCCCACUUGUGGGUUUACAUGGGUCUAUUGUUGAAACUUAUUUAGUACUGUUCAGUAAUUUUUGGCUUUAUUUUUAUAAAAUUUAAACCCUACUAAUUAUUUGGUACGGUUAUGAAUUUGAUAAAAACCUUGGUUUUAUUAAAAGAGACCUAAUAAUCGGUUCAGUAUUGUUCGGUUAAGUCGGUUAAGUUGAUUUUUAAAAAAUCAUUGGCACCCUAAUUUAAGGGAAAGAAAAUGCUAUAUCCUUGUACAUCUAUUUUCUUGAGCAUUGUAGUCGACAUCUUAGUUUCAGUUGAAUCACGAAUCAUAAAUCAAGGCAAUGAAAAAUUUCUCUGACUGCAUUGAAUUGUCUUAUUACAUUAUUAUAAAGAGUGCUUAAUUGCUAGAAAA